AAUGGAGUUCACUACCUUG
rnacentral:siRNA from 1 species